rnacentral:piRNA from 1 species
UCACUGAACAGUGAUGCCGCCUCUACAUC